UGAUGACUAAGCAAUCUCUUUAUUGGGAACUGAACAGGAAGAGCCACUGACUAACUUAGUGACUCAACAAGGAUCCUGAGAGAUGGAGGUAUCUAGUGUUGGAGGCAACCUCUUGAGUUUGGAGACCCUGGGUCCCUUCAUCAGCUACCUGGCAUCAGAGAGAGUUGUUGAAUUAGAUGGGACACUACUGGAAGGCAGAGAACCAACUCCUGGCCUGGCUUGUCAGAAUAUAUGGAUUUUGAGGAAGAUAGUACAGAGCCAAGGUGCCCUGGUGAUCCCAUGGCCUGGAAGACCUUGCAGCCAAGACUGUAAGCAGGAUGGUACAGUGAGCCAGCCCAGCAUGGAAGCUUUGAGAAGCCAGGGGUGCUUGGGACUCAAGCCCAAAGGGAUUGUGGAUUUGGAAAUAGCACUGUGCUUUAUAGGAAAUGAGCUAAGCUAUAAACUAAAUUCCCUUCUACUCCCUAGAGACUGAAAUGGUGUAAGGAGGAAAGGGAGGGUUAUAUCUCCCCUGAAUUGAGACAAUAACUUUGUAUAUUUAUGAUUAUCUUUUGAAGUAAAUAUUUCUGUGUAAAAGCAUUUUUGAUUAUUCAUAGUUAAUGGAACUGGGGUAAAGGAGGCCAUCUCUUACAAUUGAGAGAACAACAUUACUGGGGUCCAGAGUCAUUUUCAGAAAAUCUUCUCAUAUUCACAUCUUAAUACUCAUAAUUCUUCUUAAGAGAACAGGAGAACUUAGGGAGAAUGGUGAAAUGUAACCUGACCUUAAUUAAGGCAAUAGGAGUCAAAGUAGUCAAUGUUAUACUCCUUUUAUAGAGA